GCCCUGCUUUGAGCCCCCACAUGCCUGCAUGUGGCUAUGGAGGUCAAGCUGUAGUGCUAUGGCAUGCGCUCACCUAUAACUGGGGCUGCUUGCCCACGGCAGGCGGCCCUUUAACCUUGAGCCUUAUUG